CCUACGUGGGGCUGCAGUAGGGAAUAUUGGACAAUGGGUGCGAGCCUGAUCCAGCCAUGCCGCGUGCAGGAAGAAGGCGUUAUGCGUUGUAAACUGCUUUUGCCAGGGGAUAAAAUAACUGUGCGCAGUUGAUUGAAGGUACCUGGUGAAUAAGCCACGGCUAACUACGUGCCAGCAGCCGCGGUAAUACGUAGGUGGCACGCGUUGUCCGGAUUUAUUGGGUUUAAAGGGUGCGUAGGCGGCCCGGGAAGAAAUAUCUCAGCUUAACUGAGAGGGUGCCAUUGAUACUGCGGGGCUUGAGUACAGAUGAGGUAGGCGGAAUUGACGGUGUAGCGGUGAAAUGCAUAGAUAUCGUCAAGAACACCGAUAGCGAAGGCAGCUUACCAAGCUGUAACUGACGCUGAGGCACGAAAGUGUGGGGAUCAAACAGGAUUAGAUACCCCAGUAGUC
rnacentral:rRNA from 1 species